rnacentral:miRNA from 1 species
UUUUUUCUUAAUUUCAUGAAAUUUUUGUUGCAUACUUCAAGGUUCCAUUUUUGUUCUUAGCUUGGUCAAACCUUGAAGUAUGCAACACAAAUUUCAUGAAAUUAAGAAAA